AUACGUAGGGUGCGAGCGUUGUCCGGAAUUACUGGGCGUGAAGAGCUCGUAGGUGGUUUGUCGCGUCGUCUGUGAAAUUCCGGGGCUUAACUCCGGGCGUGCAGGCGAUACGGGCAUAACUUGAGUACUGUAGGGGAGACUGGAAUUCCUGGUGUAGCGGUGAAAUGCGCAGAUAUCAGGAGGAACACCGGUGGCGAAGGCGGGUCUCUGGGCAGUAACUGACGCUGAGGAGCGAAAGCAUGGGUAGCGAACAGGAUUAGAUACCCUGGUAGUCCAUGCCGUAAACGGUGGGCGCUAGGUGUAGGGGUCUUCCACGACUUCUGUGCCGUAGCUAACGCAUUAAGCGCCCCGCCUGGGGAGUACGGCCGCAAGGCUAAAACUCAAAUGAAUUGACGGGG
rnacentral:rRNA from 1 species